CAACCUGGAAUGGGAUCAUCCUGAGCAUCCAAAUGGGAUCAUGAUUGGAUACACUCUCAAAUAUGUGGCCUUUAACGGGACCAAAGUAGGAAAGCAGAUAGUGGAAAACUUCUCUCCCAAUCAGACCAAGUUCACGGUGCAAAGAACGGACCCCGUGUCACGCUACCGCUUUACCCUCAGCGCCAGGACGCAGGUGGGCUCUGGGGAAGCCGUCACAGAGGAGUCACCAGCACCCCCGAAUGAAGCUACUCCAACCGCAGCUCCUCCCACAUUGCCCCCGACUACCGUGGGUGCGACGGGCGCUGUGAGCAGUACCGAUGCUACUGCCAUUGCUGCCACCACCGAAGCCACAACAGUCCCCAUCAUCCCAACUGUCGCACCUACCACCAUCGCCACCACUACCGUCGCCACAACUACUACAACCACUGCUGCCACCACCACCACCACGGAGAGUCCUCCCACCACCACCUCCGGGACUAAGAUACACGAAUCCGGUACUGCGCAUCGCCCAUGCUCCCCAUCCCCUCCUGGCCCGCCUCCCCAGCGGCCUCCAUACGAACCCACAGGCUCCCCCAGCGAGGAGGUGGGGUCUGGGGUGGUGUUUGCCACCACCUCCCUUUGUGUUUCCUUUGGAAACUCACCCGUGACUAGAUGCUCAGUCCCGUAGCCUGGAGGCCCAGAUCUCCCCAGCCUGGCCCUGACACACACACACUCCUUGGGUGGUCCUCCACCACUCAGUACCCCAAAUUCUAGCUUCAGAUCCCUGUUCCUUAACAGACGGCCAAGCUCCUUGGGCAGGGCCCCCAGGUUCCAGAUGUUAGGACCGCCUCCAGCUACAUGUCAGGCAGUCAGCUCAGAGCCGAGCACUCCAGAAGGAAGACAGUGUGAGGAGGGGAAAAGGACCAGAUACUGUACAACUGGCCUGAGGGAGUUUCCUGCCCUGGCCACGUCUGCAUCCGGCCUAGAGGCUGAGCAGCAGGGAGUGGCUGUGCCAGGCAGCUCUGUUCCCAGAACCCCUGUUCCUUCCUUGCCUCUCCUUCCGCGAGGAACACUUACAGACUUUUCUUUUACAAAGUCAGAGCUUCCAGGAAACUGUAUUGCCAAGGAGGCCCUUAAUGCCAACUCACAUUCCCCAAGCCCUCAAAUGCAGGCAUGGAGGGAAAAUUACGGGCAUUCUCAGAGCCCCUGGUAAGAAUCGAUCCCAGGGCUGGUACGCUGAGCCACGAGAAUGCACUGUUCCUGUAUCAUGCAGCCAGGCCAGGCAGCUCUGUUCUUCCAGUUCGGGGAGACCCCAGGGGAAUUCAGCGAUACUUCCAAGCACUGAGCAUCAGUCUUUUAUUACCAACAAGGGGAAGGUCUGUAGCUUCCUGAGCUCACAGGCCAGCUAUAAAAUCAGCGUGAGGCAGCCAGGAAGCACCCAGAACUCUUCUGCCACCGUUGUAGAAUUGUAGGACCCAGUGGGCACCACCUUUGUCUCCUGGGAAAGUCCCUUUACCUUCCAAGGCCUCCUUUCUCCCACCCUGCUCCACUUUUCUCGGCCUCCUGAAUGAGGAUGGAGGCUUAAUAGACAUGAGAGGAUUUUGUUUUCAGUUCAGUGACAUAGAGUUAAGUGAGCUGUCAGGGAAGACGAGAGGCAUAGCUGCUGUGAGCUCCUGAGACCCUGAAAAUGCUGGUUUGCUUCACAGGUGCCAUCUAGAACUUAACAGGCACUUUCGGAAAAAGUUGGCUGAGGAGGAACCUGCUGGGGUAUUAGAAGCUGCCACCAGCGGGUUGGUGAUUGAUGUUCUUUGGGGCCACGGUGAGGCAUCUUUUUCAUUAAAGUGGGGCUUUGUGUCCUACAAGUGCUUUGAGUUCAGAAAAAAGAUGAACCAAAAAUGAAGAAAGGAAGUGGCUCUUGCUUCCCCAGCAAAGAGUUACUUGCCUUCUGAAACACAAGCCUUGUUGCCACAUAGGACCAGCCCCUCCAGAGUCUUACUCCUCAAGUUCUGUGAGACGCUGCAGAGGACCUGGCCAUGGCCUUGAUCUUAUCUAGACCUUGGGAACACCCCUCAACCAUCCUCACCUCACUUCAGCAGAAUGGCUGUCUAGGACUUUAAAAAUGAAUGUUCACCUUUAUCGUGCCUUACAUCUUGGGAAAAGAUGUUUCAUAAGUUUACUCUUCUCAGGGUGAAAUAGGCCUUUUUAUUUGUCCUUCGCCUGUCUUUUUCAGAUUUCAAGGGAGAUUCCUUAAUUCUUACAUUCCAGGAGUCAGUGAGACAAUCUAUGCUUCCCCUCCCUGACCCUUUUUGUGUUUCUCGGUGUUGAUAUUUCACAUGCUUGGUCCUUCUCUUUGAAAUUUUUAGUGCUUCCGGGUCAUCAUCCUGAUCUCUCUGUGGCAAUGCCUUCCUCCAGCUCCCACCUCUAAAUCAUCUUGGCUUCCCACUGCCUGGCCUUUUCUAAAAGAACCCCAAUCUUCAUGGCCUUUAAAACAGCCAGAUUUGAGUCAAUUUCAUAUUGGUGGCCAGACUGUUUAAACACAAAUUCUCUAGCUAUUUACAGGGCUCAGAGCUGAGGAGGAAGAAACUCAAGUCCCCAAAUAAUGACUAAUCACAAUUCAUUCUCGCCAGCAAGAGCCAUGAAAUUCUAAGGAGCUGGAAUUUGGGAUGGCUUCAAGUGGCCAGUACAAUUGAAGCGUCUGGCAGACAGGCAAAGAAGCCUACCUUCUGCCCUCCCCAUGGUGCCAUCAAUGGAAUCACUUUCUUGGCCCCUCACUUAAUAUGAAUCAUAUUCACCUGGGGCAACCAACACCUGACAAAGUUGUAGUGCAGAAGGCUCCUCUUUGAAGUGAAGACCAGGAGAUCUUUUAUCACUUCCCCAGCCCUGCAGGCUCAGUCACAUGUCAAAUAGAUAAUGAAUAAAUGCAUCGCCAAUGCACUCUAUUCAUUUAUUUUUGACAAGUGAGUUGGUGACAGUGCCCCCUUGCAUGCUAAUAAAAUAUACAGCAGCCACACUUGUAAAGUCUUUGAAAUACAAGGCUUCAUGUGAGUACUCCACUAUUAAAUCUUUGCUGGAAAAUGGGGUAACCAGACUGCUGGGACUCUUGCAAAAUGAUUACGUUUGAAGAUUAGUGCCAUUCUCCUCUACACAGGCUAUGGUUUCAGACAGCACCAUGGCUUUGAUAAAGUGGCUCCCGGCUCAUAGGAACUUGAUAAUUAAUGUCCUCUGUGUUGCAUAGAGAUCAGGCAUCAAAAACUCGGUGGUGCUGAGAAGCCAACAGAACAGGAUUCUUCUGGUAUCUGGACCACUGAGGGCUGGUUGUCAAGGAGUUAUCUUCUCUUGGUCGCACCUAGUCCACGUGAGGGAGGGGAAGGCUUCACAUUGUCUUUACUUGGGCCCCUGAGAUUCUAGGCUUUAGACAAUCUGAAGCUGUUAGACCUAUCAGCCAGGCUUCUCUCUGACCAAGAACAACCCAAGGGGCUCCUUAGACCAGCCUCACCUGUCUGGAUCACCAUUCUCCUCCAGCUUCAAAAGUCCAUCCUUCCUGCAAAUCUCAUCAAGACUCGCGGCACUUAAAGAUAACCCUCUCCUUCCUGCAGCACUUCUAUGCUUGAAGGGGAAGGGGCUGGCACACAUCUUCUCUGUGUGGCCUCCUCCUCCUGGCCACACGGCCUUUUUCCUGGCCCCUUUCCUUACACUGUUGACAUGACAAGGGAUCUGAAAAGGGAAUAAGUCCAGGUUAAAGCCUCAAAUGGCACAGAUCAAAACCCACUCUUUCUACAAAAAUUUGCCGGGCAUGGUGGCGGGGGCCUGUAAUCUCAGCUACUUGGGAGGCUGAGGCAGGAGAAUCGCUUGAACCUGGGAAGUGGAGGUUACAGUGAGUCGAGAUCGCACCACUGUACUCCAGCUUGGGCAACAGAACAAUACUCCAUCUCAAAAAAAAAACAAAAAA
rnacentral:sRNA from 1 species